rnacentral:lncRNA from 1 species
GGAGAGGCUCCUCGCCUGAUUUAUGCAGCCUUAAGAUGGGAGGGGCAGAAAGGUGCCUUGGGUAUGUGUGGUAAGACUUCAUCUGAUCUUAAGGCAACCAAUGUUUAUCAGGCAUUUUGCUAGGCACUGGAACUUCAAAAAUGACUAAGAGAUCUCUAUUGAAAGCGUUUAAGAUUUGGUGAGGGGGACAAGAAGAACACCUAAGCCGAAUACCAAGCCUGGUGACCUUGGAGACAGGAACAGGAACCAAGCGCAACGGUUGAACAUCUUUGGGAAGACAAGACCCUCUUCCCCUGGGGUCAGAUGUAAAGGCCCGCAGAUACGCCAGCAGUCUCUCCGCGUCAAUAGCCUCCUGGGGGAACUACUGAAAGCAGCUAAUGGUUUUCUGUAGAACAUAAGUUGCAACAAUAAAGAACCAGUAUUUGUGGACCGCUUGCUGUAUACCAAUCUGUUGAAUCCUCACAAAAGCGAAAUGAGAUGAGUACCACAUUUUUCACGUGAAGUAAGUGGGUUCAGAGAGUUUAAAAACCUUCUGCAGACACACAGCCAUCAGCAGCAGAUCUAAGAUUGGAAUGUAGGUCAUCUGACUCCAGAGUCUACAGCAACUAAAAACUAUAUACAACUU